GGGGGGAAGGGGUUAGUUUUGUCUGAACUUCCAGUUUGGCGUGAUGUGUCUUCUUCUCCUUUUCUUUUACCUUAGUUUUCUCCAGCCAUGGUGAUGCCGGAGGAAAUUGAUCGGCGGCUGAUGCUGCUGGUGCCGCGGCGGUCCUGGCCAUGUAAACAAUUGUUUUAAGCUGCGACAUUGAUUAAAAUGGGAAAAAUUGAAGAAAAUCAAAACCCUUAAAAUUGACAUUCGACUAUUACACAAAGAAAACAUUUGUACCUCAAAAAGUCGUUUCAAUGGAAGGUAGAUAGAAAUCAGAAGCCGCUUCAAUGGAGAUGUGUCCUGGUUCUUUAGGGUAAAUUGUUCGAUGGCGUGGCAGUAUUGGGCUUGGGUUGUGGCUGCAUUGCAGUUGUGGUUUGCAGAUUUUAAGGUUUGUUGUUUUCCGGUUCGGUUUUGCUUCGUAAUUGAUUGUUGUUUGGUUUAUUAAGUUUGUAAUAGUGUGAUUAGAGAUCUGUUUGAUUAGGGGAUUUGGUUUUUUGAUGCAAUUUAGGCUUGAAUUGGAUUGGAUUUGUUUCGAAAAUAUACCUAGAUUUGAUUAUAUUAGCUUAUUAAACAUUGUGGUGAUUAUUAAA